ACGCACGCUGGCGGCGUGCCUAAUACAUGCAAGUAGAACGCUGAAGGAGGAGCUUGCUCUUCUGGAUGAGUUGCGAACGGGUGAGUAACGCGUAGGUAACCUGCCUGGUAGCGGGGGAUAACUAUUGGAAACGAUAGCUAAUACCGCAUAACAGUAGAUGUUGCAUGACAUUUGCUUAAAAGGUGCAAUUGCACCACUACCAGAUGGACCUGCGUUGUAUUAGCUAGUUGGUGGGGUAACGGCUCACCAAGGCGACGAUACAUAGCCGACCUGAGAGGGUGAUCGGCCACACUGGGACUGAGACACGGCCCAGACUCCUACGGGAGGCAGCAGUAGGGAAUCUUCGGCAAUGGACGGAAGUCUGACCGAGCAACGCCGCGGGAGUGAAGAAGGUUUUCGGAUCGUAAAGCUCUGUUGUAAGAGAAGAACGAGUGUGAGAGUGGAAAGUUCACACUGUGACGGUAUCUUACCAGAAAGGGACGGCUAACUACGUG
rnacentral:rRNA from 1 species